CCACUGCAUUGCCUCAGUACGGCGAGUGAAGCGGCAACAGCUCAAAUUUUAAAGCUGGCACCUUCGGUGUCCGCGUUGUAAUUUUGUGAGGCAUCUCCGGGUAGGGCGCCGGCCUAAGUUCCUUGGAACAGGACGUCAUAGAGGGUGAGAAUCCCGUGCUUGGCUGGCUGUCCCCGUCCAUGUGAGGUGUCUUCGACGAGUCGAGUUGUUUGGGAAUGCAGCUCAAAAUGGGUGGUAAAUUUCAUCUAAAGCUAAAUAUUGGUGGGAGACCGAUAGCGCACAAGUAGAGUGAUCGAAAGAUGAAAAGCACUUUGAAAAUAGAGUUAAAAAGUACGUGAAAUUGUUGAAAGGGAAGCGCUUGAGACCAGACUUCGGUGGGGAGUGAUCAGCUGUCCUUCUGGGCGGUGCACUUGCUCCCCUCCGGGCCAGCAUCGGUUGGGACGGCGGGAUAAAGGUCCCGGGAAUGUGGCUCCUCUCGGGGAGUGUUAUAGCCCGGGUGAAUGCCGCCAGCCCCGACCGAGGACCGCGCCUUCGGGCUAGGAUGCUUGGCAUAAUGGUCUUCAGCGACCCGUCUUGAAACAACGGGACCA
rnacentral:rRNA from 1 species